GUAAUACUUUGGUAAUACCUAUGAUAAGAUUGGAAUGAUAUAGAUAAGAUUAGCAUGGCCCCUGCACAAGGACGACACACAAAUUUGUGAAGCAUUCCAUAUUCUU